UAAAAAGAGGAAGUUAAAUUUUAAUAUCAUUAGUAUUAAUAAACAUACUUAAUAAACGAUAGACUGAAGGAUUAUUUGAAGAUAAAAGGAUCUGGAUAGAAGUAGGAAAAGGAAUGUGUAAAUGUGUAAGUCCCUGAAAAAGUUGAGCAUUAUCAUAUUUAGGACAAUUCAGGAAGAUGUGAUCCACAUCCUCCACCUCACCACACUCACAUAAAGCACUGUCCACUAUAUGAAAUUUAGCUAGAUGAGCAGACGUACAAACGUGACCUAAUCUCAUACGAGUCAGGAUGCACGAUGCCGUCUUGCCCAACAGCAACCGCGAGAACCAGGGUUUUGCAGGAAUUUCACGUUGGAUAGAUGCGAAAUAUUUUCCUUUUGUUUGAGAACUGACAGACCACACUUCCCUCCACGAAUCACGUAGAUACACUCUGGGUAGAGCAAGAAGGUCAUGAGGGUAGAUUUUAUAGUAAGCCAUAUCUCCACAAUCAAUGGCGUCAUUAGCAAGCCUAUCAGCCUGUUCGUUUCCACGGAUACCCCUAUGUCCCGGAAUCCAGGCAAAAAUAAUCGAAAAUCCCUUUGCAGCACACUGAACAAUCAUGUUUCUGGUUUCUAUUAUCAAUGGACUAAUAAGUUUUGUUUUAAAUAAAAAUUUAGAUAGAGAUUGUAGAGCGCUCAUUGAGUCUGAAAAGAUUAUAGUUUUCCUAAGUUUUGCUAAAAGUACAUACUCAACCGCUUUAUACAGACCAAAAACUUCACCAGUAAAAACAGAACUCUCAGGAGGUAAUUUAAUCUUUUGAACUAUAUCGUAUUGUGAGUGAUAUAUGCCAACACCUACUUUAUUAUCUGUGGAUCGUUUGGACGCAUCACUAAAAACAUGAUGCCAACUGUCAGUGCUAUUGUCAAAUUCCGUGUCUAGAACGAAAUUGAAAACAUUGGAUGCCUCAAAAGUUUGUUUAGUUAUACCCAAGUUUAAACGAACAUCAGGUUUAUAAACAAGGGCUUCAUAGUUUGAGGUGUAAAGAGGGAAACAUAUUGAGUUAUGAAUUGGCGUAUCAAUUGACAGUAAUUUUUGAUAACUAUUAAUUAAACAAGGAGUGCAUUUAUGAGUCCAGUAACUUGAGGAGUUGACUUCUUCAGAGAGGAUUUUUAGCUUGGUUAAAAGUGGGUGGUCACCUAGUUGUAAACAACGGUAUAAAUAACUAUCUGAAAGAAACUGCCGCCUCAGUUGUAAAGGGGGUUCAACACACUCGACUUGCAUUGCAUUAAUAGGGCUAGUCUUCAUUGCGCCCAGAACAAUCCUUAAAGCUACCGAUUGUAUUUUAUCUAGUUUAUUUAAAGCAGCAGCACUACAUGGUUCCAGCAAAAAAGAUCCAUAAUCAAUCACACUCCUGAUUAGUGCAUUAUAAAUGAUUCUCAGAGAAGUAGGAUGAGCGCCCCACCAUACACCUCUGAGGCAUUUAAUAAUAUUAAGAUUCCGUUCACAUUUAGCCUCAAUAUAAUUGCAAUGUGGGAUACCAGGGGAGAUCUCAUACGAGAAAAAAGCACUACAUUGCUUUUGGAAACGGAUAAUUCUAAGCCAUUAUCAUUCAGCCAACCCUUCAAUAUACCAAGAGAUGUUGUAAGUGUGUUACAUAAAUUAGAAACAGAUUUACCUGAACAAUACAAUAAAAGAUCAUCUGCAUACUGUAAAAUAUUAACUGAGUUACUUAAGGAAUCCUCUAAAUCAUAAGUAUAUACAUUAUAUAGUAAAGGGCUCAGCACUGAGCCUUGAGGUAAGCCCUGCCAAACAACUCUAGAUAUCUGGGACCCAUCUAGUGUAACACUUAUAGAUCUCUCUGACAGCAUUCUAAUAAUAAAUGAAGUGAGCAUUUCCGGAACAUUUAAUGAUUUUAAUUUCUUAUGAAGAAUAGAAAUAACAACAUUAUCAUAGGCACCUUUAAUGUCUAAAAAAGCAGAGAGGAUGGAUUCAUUUUUUGAAAAUGCCAGUCUAAUGUCAGUCAUAAACAGACUCAAACUAUCAGAAGUACUUCUGCCCUUUCUGAAGCCGAACUGACUUUCAGAGAGCAAUCUAUUGCUUUCUAAAUACCAUUCUAGCCUAUUUUUGACUAAAUGUUCUGCCAAUUUGGCCAGUACAGAAGAUAAAACAACAGGUCGGUAAGAAGAAGCGUCAGAAGGAGGUUUCUUUGGUUUUAAGAUAGGUAUUACUAACUGGGACCUCCAUGAGAGAGGAAUGUUGCCAGACAACAUAAUAGAAUUUAUAAUAUUUAAGAAGUAAUUUAAAGUUUUAUCACUGCUGUUACAGAAAAAGGAAUAGGGUAUACCGUCUUGACCGGGUGACGUGUCAAUUAAACUUGUUAAAAUGCCUUUAAUUUCAGACAUGGAAAAAGGUGAAUUUAAUCCUGAUAAAUUAUUAGAAAUUGAAGUUGGCAAGCACUGAAUUUGUAACUCAGGAACUGAAGAAGGAGCUAGAUUAUCUAGGAAUUGUUCAGCUAGCUCUGAAGAUAGAGAGCCUCUAGAUGAUGGAUUAACACCCAUCCUGAAUCUCCUAACGCUUUGCCAAACAACAGAAACAUUAACAUCUGGACAAAUAUUAUUACAGAAUCUUCUCCAUCCCUCAAACUUCUUCUUUUUCAAAAAUUUACGAGUGUCCCGUGCCACUUGACAGUAAAGCUCAUAGUUCACAGAUGUCAUUAAACAGGAAUAAACCCUUUCUGCUUCCCUCCUUCUUUUUAUAGCCUCUGUGCACUCGUUGUCCCACCAAGGUGGACAGGGGAUUUUUCUGGAGCCGCCCACUUUAAUUGGGAAUAAAGCAUCUGCAACCUCAAUCAUGACUUUGACAAGAGCCUCAGAGCAAGCCAUCUCAUUACCCAUACAGACAGAAGGGAGGUUUGAAACUUUACUGUCAACUUGCUGACUAAAUGCAGACCAAUCACUAGGUUUUUUAUCAGCAGCACUUCUACAAUUCCACUGUAGGAGUACCUGAUCCAUUAUUGGGAUUGAUAGACACAGUGUUUUCAAUUAGUUGGGCAACGUGGGACGGUAUAGAAUUGAGCAGAACCAUUUGGUGAAGAUAGAGGUAUAUCAUAAUCUUUUAUUAGAGAUGCAUGUGCAGCCCGGUCAUACCCAGCCGAAGGCGUAGGAGGAGCACGAGGCUUAAGGAAAACUGUUUUUUUAUAUGAGCUGGAAGAUGGGGACAAUCGAGCUGCUGGGUUAGCAGCCUCAUCUUGAGAUUGUUUAUGUUGCGAAGUUCUAAGAACGUCAGCAAAAGAUUUGGAGACAACGGGGUGUAAUUUGGAAGCCUCUAAAUAUGAGAUGCAGUUUUGAGCCAUUGACACUUUGAUAUUUUUUUGUCGGGAAAAUUCAGGACAAGCCUUACUAGUGGCAAAAUGAUAACCAGAACAAAGACAGCAUGAUCCAUCCUCUUGUUCUACUGAACAAGAUUCGGCAGUGUGACCUUGCCCACAUUUAUAACAGCGAGGCUUGGAGCGGCAUUGAGCCUUUGUAUGACCAAAACGGCAGCAGCUGUAACAUUGAAUGGUUGGAUAAAUGUACAAGUCGACAGUCAAUGGAGUAUAGCACAUAAACACACGUUUUGGUAGUACUUGUCCAUCGAAAGUUAAAACAACUGUUUCAGUGUUAGUAAAUUCUGGAGACCCAUUUAUAAUUUUUUUACUUUUAAUUCUCCUAGCUUUAAGAACUUUCCCACAUCCAAUGGGGACACUCACAUUAUCCAAAAUCUCAUCCUCAGGCCAGUCAGCAGGGACACCCCUGACAACACCCAUCCGUGUGAUAAUAAAGGUUGGAAUGAAAGCUCUCAAACUAUGGCUGGCAAGGCAAGGAUUUUCAAUAAAAGCGUUAGCAUCAGAAUAUGUGGAAAAGGCCAUGGAUAGUC
rnacentral:misc_RNA from 1 species